rnacentral:sRNA from 1 species
GGUACAAAGGCAUUAGGUUAUAAGCAUCAUUAAAAAAAACAGCAGCAGAGGAAUUUUUAGCAUCCAUUGCAUGACCUAUCAAAAUCAAAGUGGACUCUUGAGUUGGAUGUUUACUACCUGUGACUACCUUCACUUCAGCUUCCUAGCACUUGACCUUCUUUCCAUAAAGGUUGCUAGAAGACACAUAACCAGAGAUAUGUCUGAAGUAAGAUAUCAGUUAACAGCUGAGGACACCAAGGAAAAGCAGCCAUAGCUGAGUGUAAGAAGCCCUACCACACAGUUAAUGACCUCGCUGUCUUCGCUUUGGACAACCUCUCCUGUUUAUUCAAAUUGAAUGCACCCCGUUGGGAAACCCCAACUAUGUGUAGAAGCCCAUCUCUACGAGUUUAAAAAACAGAAAAUGACACUAUUGGUUUAAAGGAUAAAGCUCACCCUUCCUGUGUUAAUCAGAUUUUCUUUGCACUGUUGUGAUUAAAAUUCUUGGAAAAAACAACUUAAAGGAAGAGGAAGAAGGGUUUACUUUGGCUGGUAAAUUGAGUUUGUGGAUGGCUGGCUGUACUGUUUUUGGCUUAACUCGAGUAGAAUAUCACGGCAAUACAAUGGGUCGUAUGGAUGAGGAGGCUUCUCACCUCAUGACCUCUGAGACGGGGACCCAUGGCCCAGUGCAAAACCUCAAAGUCACAUAAACUCUGCUGUCUUCUGAGGAGUAGCAGAACGAUGUGUGUGCAAUAACAACAGGCAUCAAAGGCCCCCUUUUUCCCCUGGCUCGGUGGAUGCUGAUACCAGAAUUGCUCUGCUUACAUUGCACCGGAAUUCCACUGGGUUGCAUUUGCAGUGAUCAGUGGAGGACUGAGUGGAGGUGAGUUCCAAGAAUUGAACUCAGGUCUUCAGGCUUGCCACAUCAAACACUUUGACCCUUUGCACCAUCUUGCGGACAGGAGCCUAGCCUAACUGCACUCUGAGAAACUCACUGAAACAGAUGCAGAAACCCAUAGCCAAACACUGGAUGGUGCUCAGGACCCCAAAGUGAUAGGAGCUCCACAGGAAGACUCACAGAGUGGAUCCUUCAGGGCUCCCAGAGACUGAACCACCAACAAAAGAGGCUCAUGACUACUGCAGGAGUGAGAGUGGAAAUAAUAUGAGGUAAAUAGCGUGAAGAUGGACAGCAAAGAGGUGUCUUCCGCACAUGACAGAGUUUAUAAACUCACUGACGCUGUGGCUACCUAUGUAAGACCAUCAUGUAGAGAUCUCAUCAUGGAUGAGGGUCUGUGAAUCCCUACUCUUCUCUGUGAGGGGGGGCAUCUCUCAGGAUCUGUCUUACUUUCUAUUGCUGUGAAGAGACUAGCGUGACACCCUUCCCCCAACAAGAUCCCCCUCAUAAUAAUAUCUUUCUCUAUUGAUCUUAUUGGGCCAUUUUCAUUCAAACCACCAUAGAGUGUAUUGGUAAUUUAUGGCACUUUGGAGAAGAGUAUGGCUUUUCCCCCAGUGGAAUAGCCAAUGAUGUGCUACCCUUGAUCCAGUUAAUAGCCUACCAAUGCUCAGAUAAGCAACUCUAAGUCAAUCCAGUAGGUCACACAUAGAGGGAGAUGUACAUUUUCUUCUUUUUAAU